rnacentral:rRNA from 1 species
UGCCGCUUGCGAGGGCGUAUGGUGGAUGCCUUGGCAGACAGUACCGAUGAAGGACGUUUGAGGAUGCGAUAAUCCUAGGGGAGCCUCCAACAUGGCUUUGAUCCUAGGGUCUCCGAAUGGGGGAACCCGCCGGCCGUCAUGGGCCGGCACCGCCUAUGGGCGGGGGGUACGCAGGGAAGUGAAACAUCUCAGUACCUGCAGGAAGGGAUACUCCGUGAGUAGUGGCGAGCGAAAGCGGAUCAGACCAAACCGGUUGCGCGUGAUACCCGUCGGGGGUUGCGUUGCCGGUGUUGUGGGAUCACGUGUCCCGGUUCCGACGGGCCGGGCGGGAGUCAUAAAACGGCUUGCCAGGGGAACAGGCUUGAAGGCCUGGCCGUAGAGGGUGCCAGCCCCGUACCUGGACGUGAGCCGUCUUCCGAUCGUGUUGUCCCAAGUAGCGCGGGCCUCGUGGAAUCCCGCGUGAAUCAGCCCAGACCGUUGGGUAAGUCUAAGCAUACCUGUCUGACCGAUAGCGUACCAGUACCGUGAGGGAAAGGUGAAAAGCACCCCGGGAGGGGAGUGAAACAGUUCCUGAAACCGUGCGCCCACAAACCGUCGGAGCCUCCUUGUGGGGUGACGGCGUGCCUAUCGAAAAAUGAGUCUGCGAGUCAGUGGCGGGUGGCGAGCAUAAGCCGUGUGGCGUAUGCGUAGCGAAAGCGAGUCUUAAAAGGCGUUUUUAGUCGCUUGUCCUGGACCCGAAGCGGGAUGAUCUAGCCCUGGGCAGGUUGAAGCGCGGGUAAGACCGCGUGGAGGACCGAACCCACCUGGGUUGAAAACCGGGGGGAUGACCUGGGGCUAGGGGUGAAAGGCCAAUCAAAUUCCGUGAUAGCUGGUUCUCUCCGAAAUGCAUUUAGGUGCAGCGUCGGUCGAUUGCGUCGCGGGGGUAGAGCUACCGGAUGCUUGCGGGCCCUUGUUGGGUACCAACAGCAGCCGAACUCCGAAUACCGUUGACGUGUAUUCCGGCAGUGAGUCGGCGGGGGAUAAGCUCCGUCGUCGAGAGGGAGACAGCCCAGACCGUCGUCUAAGGUCCCGAAGCGUGUGCUAAGUGGGAAAGGAUGUGGAGUCGCAUAGACAGCCAGGAGGUUGGCUCAGAAGCAGCCAUCCUUGAAAGAGUGCGUAACAGCUCACUGGUCUAGUGGUUCCGCGCCGACAAUGUAGCGGGGCUCAAGCACACCACCGAAGACGCGGCAGCAAUCUUCAUGGUUGCUGGGUAGGAGAGCGUCCUGCGAGGGGCGAAGCGGCCGGGUAACCGUGCCGUGGACUUCGUGGGAGUGAGAAUGCAGACAUGAGUAGCGAGAGACGGGUGAGGAUCCCGUCCGCUGGAUGACCAAGGGUUCCGGGGCCACGUUCGUCGUCCCCGGGUGAGUCGGGUCCUAAGGCGAGGCCGACAGGCGUAGUCGAAUGGAUGAACGGGUGGAUAUUCCCGUACCGACCAUGGACCGGCAAAACCGAGACGGUGAGUACUAACCUCCGCCUCGUGGUGGUUCCUUCCUUCGGGUUGGUAUCGCCGCGUGGUGUUGGGACCGUAGCCGCAGUAGGUCAGCGCAGGGGUGACACGGAAUGGGAGCCGGCCGCGGAGGUGGUUUUCCGUGGUCAAGCACGCAGCCAGUCAUGUAGGCAAAUCCGCAUGGCGUGCAUGGCGAGGUGUGAUGAUGGGAGCCGUUAUGGCUCGAUAUCCGGUUGUCCAGGCCGUCGAGAAAAGCCUCGGCGUGAGGGCCAUGGCCGCCCGUACCCCAAACCGACACUGGUGGUCAGGUAGAGAAUACCAAGGCGAUCGAGCGAAUCCUGGUCAAGGAACUCGGCAAAUCACUCCCGUGCCUUCGGUAUAAGGGAGACCCGCUGGGGUGAACCGGCUAGCCCGGGGAGCUUUGGUGGGUGGCACAGACCAGGGGGUAGCGACUGUUUACCAAAAACACAGGUGCAUGCGAAGGCGAAAGCCGCUGUAUAUGCACUGACGCCUGCCCGGUGCCGGAAGGUUAAGAGGAUCCGUCAGUCCCUUCGGGAUGAAGCGGUGAAUUCAAGCCCCGGUAAACGGCGGUGGUAACUAUAACCAUCCUAAGGUAGCGAAAUUCCUUGUCGGGUAAGUUCCGACCUGCACGAAUGGCGUAA